AAUGCACAUUACUGGAACCUGGAGUUGAGAGGCCAGGCAGCCGCUGGCCUCCCAAGUGUAGGCAGUGUGCUACAUGAGGGGCAACUUUCUCUAACACCACAAGGGUCUCUGGCCCAAUGAGUGCAGUUUGAUAGUAAUCCUUGCUACAAGU